rnacentral:rRNA from 1 species
CCUACGGGGGGCAGCAGUGAGGAAUAUUGGUCAAUGGGCGUAAGCCUGAACCAGCCAAGUCGCGUGAGGGAUGAAGGAUCUAUGGUUCGUAAACCUCUUUUAUAAGGGAAUAAAGUGCGGGACGUGUCCUGUUUUGUAUGUACCUUAUGAAUAAGGAUCGGCUAACUCCGUGCCAGCAGCCGCGGUAAUACGGAGGAUCCGAGCGUUAUCCGGAUUUAUUGGGUUUAAAGGGUGCGUAGGCGGCCUUUUAAGUCAGCGGUGAAAGUCUGUGGCUCAACCAUAGAAUUGCCGUUGAAACUGGGGGGCUUGAGUAUGUUUGAGGCAGGCGGAAUGCGUGGUGUAGCGGUGAAAUGCAUAGAUAUCACGCAGAACCCCGAUUGCGAAGGCAGCCUGCCAAGCCAUGACUGACGCUGAUGCACGAAAGCGUGGGGAUCGAAC